ACCCUCCCGGAGCCUCCUUUGCGUAGUAACUAACGUCUCGCAUCGGGAUCCGGAGGGACUCCUGCCGUAAAACCCCCAUCUUUUUACUGGUUGACCUCGGAUCAGGUAGGAAUACCCGCUGAACUUAAGCAUAUCAAUAAGCGGAGGA
rnacentral:rRNA from 1 species